rnacentral:rRNA from 1 species
ACCCCUGGGUGGCGAAGCGAAAGCGAUAAGCAUUCCACCUGGGGAGUACGCCGGCAACGGUGAAACUCAAAGGAAUUGACGGGGGCCCGCACAAGCGGAGGAACAUGUGGUUUAAUUCGAUGAUACGCGAGGAACCUUACCCGGGCUCAAACGGGGAGUGACUCAGGCAGAGACGCCUGUUUCCCACGGGACACUCCCCGAGGUGCUGCAUGGUUGUCGUCAGCUCGUGCCGUGAGGUGUCGGCUUAAGUGCCAUAACGAGCGCAACCCCCGCGUGCAGUUGCUAACAGAUAACGCUGAGGACUCUGCACGGACUGCCGGCGCAAGCCGCGAGGAAGGCGGGGAUGACGUCAAAUCAGCACGGCCCUUACGUCCGGGGCGACACACGUGUUACAAUGGGUGGUACAGCGGGAAGCCAGGCGGCGACGCCGAGCGGAACCCGAAAUCCACUCUCAGUUCGGAUCGGAGUCUGCAACCCGACUCCGUGAAGCUGGAUUCGCU